rnacentral:tRNA from 1 species
GCGCCAUUAGCUCAGCUGGUAGAGCAGUAGACUCUUAAUCUAUUUGUCCAGGGUUCGAGUCCCUGAUGGCGCA